rnacentral:lncRNA from 1 species
GCUACAGAAGAGUGAGGAGAUGGUCAUGGCUUGGAGUGGGCCCAGCACCAGCGCUCCCCUUAGGUACCUGCAGUCCCUUGGCCCUAAAAUGCAUAUACAUAGUUACAGAAGGGCUGGCACUGCAGAAAUCUGAGAUAAGAGCCCUACCCCUUCCUUGGUGCGGUGAGCACGAUACGAAGGAUGAAGAGGAACUCAAGGCACAACCACGAGGACUUAGUGGGGUCUUGCCAGCAGUUAUCAAAAACAAAUAUGUCUCAUCUGUUUCCUGUCUUGAAAAGGAGGAGCAUGAGAGCCAUGGAGUGAAAUGCUCAGUGAUGUUGGGGGCAAUCACAGCCUCAGCCACUGCAAUACCUGCCCACACCCACAGCUCGGGCAAUAAACUGCUGACUACAACGAAUAUUAUAAAAAUUCCUCCC